UGAUAUUGGAACGUUUGUCCUUAUAAUCCUUAUUUCCGGUUCCGGAGCAUGAGACAAGAGCGUUAGCGGUUUUGGCUUCCGGCUGGCGUUUAAGUCAAAAAACUGGGCGCGGUGGCUACAUCUGAUUGACUGAAAUGGUGGCCAACGUGUGGUACUCGGUACCUACAACGGACACACGGGAGCUGUGCCUGGGACACCAAAAAUGCUUUGACAGGAUCAGCUGAAAACAGCUGACGAUUGUGGGACUGCGAGACCAGUGGGUGAAAAGAAAAUGCAUGUGUUGAGAUAAAUAGAACUUUCUGUGAAUCCAUUGGGAGUUCCGGCAGCAGUACAACAACAACAACAACAACAACAACAACAACAAACAGAAAUAGGUAAAAUACAAUCACGAGUAGCAGCACACUGUCAAUUAAUAUAGGAAAUCUGAUCUAAAUUAAUGUUAGUAGUAUUAGUAGGUGAUUAUUGUUGCCAUUUUGUGAUGUGUUGUUGAUUGCAAUCUCAAUUAUUAUGUGUUAUAUUUUUGUUAUACUAUUGCUUUUCUAAAUU